rnacentral:rRNA from 1 species
UACGUAGGUGGCAAGCGUUGUCCGGAUUUAUUGGGUUUAAAGGGUGCGUAGGCGGUCUAUUAAGUCAGCGGUGAAAUACUCCAGCUUAACUGGAGGGGUGCCAUUGAUACUGAUGGACUUGAGUCAAGUCGAGGUAGGCGGAAUUGACGGUGUAGCGGUGAAAUGCUUAGAUAUCGUCAAGAACACCAAUAGUGAAGACAGCUUACUGGGCUUAAACUGACGCUGAGGCACGAAAGUGUGGGGAGCAAACAGG